rnacentral:rRNA from 1 species
CCUACGGGGCGCAGCAGUCGAGAAUCAUUCACAAUGGGGGAAACCCUGAUGGUGCGACGCCGCGUGGGGGAAUGAAGGUCUUCGGAUUGUAAACCCCUGUCAUGUGGGCGCAAAUUAAAAAGAUAGUACCACAAGAGGAAGAGACUGCUAACUCUGUGCCAGCAGCCGCGGUAAUACAGAGGUCUCAAGCGUUGUUCGGAAUCACUGGGCGUAAAGCGUGCGUAGGCUGUUUCGUAAGUCGUGUGUGAAAGGCGCGGGCUCAACCCGCGGACGGCACAUGAUACUGCGAGACUAGAGUAAGGGAGGGGGAACCGGAAUUCUCGGUGUAGCAGUGAAAUGCGUAGAUAUCGAGAGGAACACUCGUGGCGAAGGCGGGUUCCUGGACAUUAACUGACGCUGAGGCACGAAGGCCAGGGGAGCGAAAGGGAUUAGAUACCCGGGUAGUC